GCAGGAUCCGAGCCAUGUCUUCGACCUACACCACAGCUCACGGCAACGCCAGAUCCUUAACCCACUGAGCAAGGCCAGGGAUUGAACCUGAAACCUCAUGGUUCCUAGUUGGAUUCGUUAACCACUGAGCCACAACGGGAACUCCUAUAAUCACGCUCUUUUACAUUGUGACUCUUCAAUGAAGAGACAAAAUUAAGAUGUUUUCCAAUAUAUUUGGUUCUGCAAUAAUUUUGUGAAGACUAUUUCAGGGGACUAAUGAGCAUAUGAAAACAAUGUACAAUAUUACCUACUUUAUGCUUUUAACUCAAAUUACUUGGAGAUUCAUCUUUAUGUUUUACCUAUUUUUACUUCUGCAUUCAUCUCUUCACCCUUUACCUAUUUCACCCAAAUUCCAUAUAUCAAGCCUAUAGUUUUCUUGAUAAUUUUAUCCCUGACUACCUCUGAAACUCAAAGAUUUGUCAUUCAAGGUAAGAAUUCCAUUGUCUCUCACAAACUCUUACGAUCCAAGAAAUAUCUCCUCAAACUACUUAUACCAAUUUUUGAAUAUCUAAGUGCUAACAAAAUACAUUUUCUUUAGUUAAAAAAACAGAUAACAGAAAAUGCACAAACUUUCUAAAUCUAUACUAUUAUUUCCCAUUUUCUUGAAGCAGAGACUACACAACUUAUUAGGGAACCUCAAAAUGCUCUAUUUUCAUAGCUUCUAGAAGCUUGGAAUGCUCAUAAAUACAGAACAUGCCAAAUGCAUAUUCCUUUUAACUAUGAGGUGCUGUUUGGCUUUGUACUGCCUAGUGACAUGUUUCCAUUUUAAUGAUGUUUGAAUUUAGCAUAGCAAUUGGAUUCCCUUUCAAAUCUGGUACAUUGAAAUUCCACCUGCUUAUCCACAUCUCUUACUAAAAAUUAAAAUCUUAAUGAUCACAGUAAGGGAAAAACAAUUAAGAACUUCCUAAAAUGUACUUUUCGAUACUGAUAUUUAUAUCAAACAUGUGUUGCAAUGACACAUGUUUUGCAUUUCAAACCAGAAACACUGGCUUAUAGACACUUCCGUGCAUUUAUAGCCUUAAUCAAGAAGAAACUAUUUGCUUUCCACAUAGCAAUUAAGGCACAGAAACAAUUAAGGUUUUUGCUAAAUAGCCUCCUAUACUUUAUUACAGUUUACCUUGCUUUUUUUUUGUUUGUUUGUUUGUUUGUUUUUGUGAGGAGGAGCUAUUAUUUCUGCUCCGAGUGCUUGAUCUCCCCAGGGAGUGGAAAUGAGCAUCUGUCAUGGAACAGAGAGGAAAGUGGAGUGUCAGGGAAUGGGAAUGUGGUGAGAAGGAAAAUGGAAAACCAACUCUGGGUAAAGCAGAAAAGCUUUCAUGUAGCCAGUUCGGCCUCAUAAUCAGCUGUAGCUAUUAUGCAAGGUGUCCAGAGCUCACUCUGUUGCUUCGAAGGUAGUGCCUUUGGCCUCUACAAACAGGAGAAGUGGUGAGCAAGGCAAGGAAAAUAUUUAGAAUUUAAGAGAGUGACAUAGGAAAUGGAGAAGGGAGAAGAGAAUGAGAAAAGAGAAGGAAAGGAAGGGUAAAUGAACGACAGAAUUCCGAGAUUAAGGCUCACCUUGGACAGCCAGGAAGAAUGGUCACCUGAUCAUAAUUCUAAUGGUUACCUAAGAACAAUCUUGGAGUUUUUAGAUUUUAUGUGUUAAUCUGACCACACUCUUGCUAGACUGGUUAACUGUCUACACUAGACUGAAUAUUUUAGAAGUAUCAUAUAUCAGGGGUCCAUCUAGGUUUAUAUUAAUUUGAUGAUUUAGGAAUAAUGAAAAAUGUUUUCACUUGUUUUAUAUAAAUUUAAGUAUAUUAAGAGAAGUAUAUAUUUUAUAAAUAUACAAACACAUAUACACACAUAUUUACAGAUACCCACAUGCACAUGAAGGUCUCUGAAAGAGCAGUGCCACAUGUAUGCAAAACUCCCCUUCAAAAAAAAAAAGUCAGCUACAUUGAAAUAAUAUUGACAAAUAUUCUGACACUUGGAUUUUCACUCAUGAAAUCCUUCUACAAAAGUCUUUGAAGUUAAUGUUUGCUCGCUUCUUAUCUACACCAGACUGUUUUGACAAAAGCUAUGUCUGCCCUCCUUAAUAUCCAAUUCAGUGAGAAAAAAGGCUGACUUUGAUUUAUAGGUAACAAGUUUGAAAGUAUUUUAAGGUUUCAAAACUAAAACAGUUUCUUAAUUUUCCAAAUUAUGCUUUAUGGAGAAAAUAAAGGAUUAAAAUCAAAAGAUAACACUGACUUUGAUCUUCAAAGCCAAGCCACAUGCUUGUUACAUGAGGUGUUCAGGAAAAUACGCACACUUUCUCAAAUCUGCAUGUAUAUAACUAGUCCUUAAUAGCCUUGAAGAUUGUUAUUUAUAACACACAUCAGACUUUAGGAUAAAUUGAUUAGAGCUAAAAUGUGUGUUUUAGCGUAUGUGUUGAGGGUUCACACAGGUGAAUAAACCAUCAGAAAAUAUGGUAAAAUUGGAAAAUUAAAACUAGAAAAGAGAAUGUUGUUUUUGCUAGGUGUGUUCAAACUCUGUAUGAUAGACCCUCAACACACAAACAUUCUUAUCCGCAUACACUAUAAUCACAAUAUAUCUGACCCAUUUUGCACUUCAGAUAUGAGAUUCCCCAACAUUCCCAAUAGGUCUGUUCAUCUAAUUUAAGUCCUCAUUCACUUGGCAUAGCCAAGAUCCAUUUCUUCAACAGUCGAAUACUCAAUGCAAACGGUUUGAGCAAAAUAGGAAAAUGUCUUUGGCUCAUAUAAUUGGGGAAGUCAGGAGACAGGCUGGCAUAAAAAAUAUCUGGAGCUACUGAUUUGCUAAAUAUCAAGAAUGUCUCUCUCCCAUUUCCACACCUUGGUGAGAGAUGGUUGUUGUCUCUCUUGCUGCUGCUGGGUUAGACAGUGGCUUCAGUGACACAUCAUUACCAUGAUUUUCUCUAUGCCUCCUCCCCACCCCGAAGCUCUGUUCAGCGUUUUGAUUAGACCACUUGUUUCAUGAGCACAUGCCUAUUUCUGGACCAAUCACUGCUGCCAGGAGCAUGGAGUCCUCUGAGCCAUGUCAUGAGCCAAGAUAGGUACCUAUUUCUAUAGCCAGAGAAUCUCACUGGUGGAAAGGCAGGAAGUGAAGGCCAUAAAGAGCAGACAUACGUUCAUGACCACAGUCAUCACUUCGCCUCUUGUGAAACCAUAUGGUUCUCCAGUGUUUACAACACCAUGUGGUCAAUUCAGAACACAUUAUUACUGAAUAACAGCUAUGAAUCCCCAUAGCCAACACCACCUCUCUCUCACACUCACGCACAAUAAUAGCAAUUUAUUAAUUCAGGGCAAUUGUGCAAAGUGUUUUCCACAUUACCUCAUGUGAGUCUCCUCAAAAUAUUCUGAAGUAGACUGUUUCUGUUUUACAAAUGAGAAGACUGGAAUUGUAUAUGAACAGCUCAAUCAAUCUGAACAAAAACUACAAAAGGUAUUCAGUUUUUUGAAGCAUGUGUAGAUCAGUCAAAGACCUCCAAUGCAAUAACAGGAGAAAUGGUGAUUGUAUAGUACAAAUUUUAGGCCUCUCAGGGACUUAAUGAAUACUAGAUAUUGAUGGAAUGUAAGAUGAUACCAAAAACCAGCAGUAAUUAAAAUGUAGUCAUCAGAAUAUAUAAGAUUAAGUCAAAUGAAUGGGACCAAAUCUGAAAUAAUAGUGAUUUACUAAGACACAAUCUUAUAUUUUUCUCAAAUUCUGGGGGAGAGGGCACAGUCCAUUGUUGGAACAGUGACUUGACAAUCAUCUAAGAUCUGGCCAGUGUUUCACAUCAUGUUCCAACAUUCAGGAGCCAGCUAUAACAUCCUCAUGUUUGGGAAGAUGUAGAGGGCACAAGAGAGCUAUGUCCUUUCCCCUUUAAAAACACUUCCCAGAUGUUGCACAGGGCACUUUAGCCAGUACGUUGUUAUAUCGCCACAGCUGGCUACAAGGGAGGCUUGUAAACAGGGUCUUUCUUCCAUUUGGUCGUGUGUGCUUCUAAAACUGAGAUUCUCUAGUAGAAGAAAGGGGGAAUGGAUAUUGGAGCAGGAGGAUUGAAACCUCUGCCAAGAACUCUCUUACACGUUCCUCUGCAAUAUGUCACCAAUAUCACUCUUUCCAUACAACUGGCAUUGCCCUGGUCCUGUUCCUUUAUAGUCAAAGGGCAACAUUCUUACCUAUUGCACUGAACAUUUGAUUUUUUUCUUUGUGAUUUACUAGCAUUACAUUAGGCUUAUUUCUGAAUAUAAGCAGAUUGUGUCCUCUCUAGCUGCUUUGUUAAGACCCACUAAGCUCUACCUACUCUCUCAAAUCUUACUUUAAUGUUAUAUUCAAAGAGUAAUUUAAAAUGACUUUAUACUAUGGUAGCUUGUAUUUAAAAAUGGCUACAGGAGUUAAUUCUUGUCCUCUGUUUUCAGCCAGAAACCUGUCAUUCUUUUCUCACAAGAUAAAGCCUGUUUUCCCUCCCUUCGAAAUUAGGAGUCUUUUUGACAGUUUUGAUGAAUAGAGCACAAUGGAAAUGAAGUUACAUGCCUUCUGAAACAAAUGAUCACCAAGGGGGAAAAGAGCUUCCACUUGUCUCAUCCUCUUUGGGAACCCUUUACCUUAGAACUCAGCAGCCAUGCUGUGAGGAAGUCGAGCAACCACAUGGAAGGGCCAUAUACAAGUGUCUGGCCACAGCCUCGGGGGCUUGAAUUACCCCGGCUAACUGUACACCAUUAGAGAAGGGAGUGAGCCUGCUCCAGUCUUUGGGCUGUCCCAGCGGAGACACUGUGGAGCAGAGUAAAGCUGUCCCCACUGAUCCUGCCCAAAGUACACAAAAUAUAUGUUAUCAUUGUUUUAAGCCACUAAGUUUUGGGGUGGUUAGUUAUACAACACUAAAUACCUGGAACAUAAUGUACUGAUUAAAAAAAUUUAGCAACAUACCUGUAAGAGCACACCAUUUAAGAACUAAUACAUUAUUUCAUCCAGCCCCAUCUUAUUUUGAAGAUGAGACAAUGUAGGGUGAGUUCAGAAUUCAAGCAAGCUACUUAAAGCCAUAUAAUCAUUUAGA
rnacentral:lncRNA from 1 species